rnacentral:misc_RNA from 1 species
ACUCCUUGAAAUGUUCCAGGUAGAUAUUUAUCCCCUCAAAAUUCACUUGACUGAGACGAUGUAUCGGAUGAUGUGGGAGUACCUUUUUCCAGAGGAAGAACAAGAUUCACAGAGACGGCAGGAAGCAUGGAAGAUUUCUACGGCUGCAGGUUCAAGGCGUGUAAGGAAAGGUUCUUCAGUUCAUGAAGUAUCUGCAUCUAACACAAAAGAGUCAGAGAUGUUUUCCAAAUUAGGUUUCUCCCUCGGUGGUCAAGG